UUCAGGCAGGAUUAGGUGAGAACAUGACAUCAGAAAAUAACAUGUCUGUGUACUGCUGCCAGCUCCAUAUGCUACGUCUUGUUUUCACAGGGAAAGGAGUUGUCAGAGCCAUCUUUCCCAGGAGGGUCCUGCCAGCCUAGAGAAGCAGAUCCUGUGGGGCAGAAAGGAUGUGGGCACUCAGCAGUUACCUUGGUUUCCAAGAAAUGUCUCCACCCUUCAGUUGCUUCUGAAAGUAA